CCUACGGGAGGCAGCAGUGAGGAAUAUUGGACAAUGGGCGCAAGCCUGAUCCAGCCAUGCCGCGUGCAGGAAGAAGCAUCUAUGGUGUGUAAACUGCUUUUGUACGGGAAGAAACACUCCGACGUGUCGGAGCUUGACGGUACCGUAAGAAUAAGGAUCGGCUAACUCCGUGCCAGCA
rnacentral:rRNA from 1 species